CCCCUGCUCUGUAUCAUCAGCUUACCCUACCUUUGAGAAAACUCGUUAACAGUCCUUCCCUGCUGUUCAAGUUCUUUCCGCCCUCCCCCCCGCCCCCCCUUUAGUUUCCUUCACUGGGCUUGAGCUGGUAGACCUGUGGAUUUCUAAUUCCAUCCCCGUCUUUUUUUUGACCUGUACUAACAGCACCAUGUGUUAUACAAGUUCAACUUCUUACCGUGGCCAGCACUGGCCUGAUUUCUUCUGCAGGCUCAUUUUAUGCUCAUUAUUUUACCAUGAGCUCUCUGCUCCAGGCUUCUGAACUUCCAUUAUUUCUCCAGAUCUAAUGCUGGGCCUUCAUACAUGGCUGUGAACAGUUUCCCUUAGGAAGAGAAGCCCACCAGAAUCAUGGAAAGCAGAAUCUUCCAACAUAUUUGGAGAAGAAGAUCCGAGCAGAGCAAGGGGUGGGCUGUGGCAUAUAUGUACAGGAAGGACCUGGGACUCUUCCUACCUGCUGUGACAGCUGAGCUCCUCUUUAGCUGACGGCAUGCUGAGGCCUGUGCACUGCGGAGGUGUGGGGGCCAAGUUUAAACCCUGCUUCCUCUGCCUAUUUGCUGUGUGUGGUCCAACAUCAAUGACUGAACUUCUCUGCCCAAUUUGUUUAUCUGUAAAAGGGGAACUUUGAGACCUCCUAGAAUUUCUCACAGGUUAAAGGUGAGGUCUGAAUACUGCUGGCUCUAUGCCUAGUGCAUAGCUGGCCCUCAGGUCAUUGGUCACUUUUCCCUCUCAGAGGGGGUCACAGGCACUUGGGCCACCUCAAUGUGCCAUACUUGUCCUCGAUCUGCCAGGGUUCUGACCAGUGGAGACAUGUCUAAUGAUCACUGUCCUGUGGGAAGUAAGAAAGGGCUCCAUUUAUCUCUGCAAAUCCUCUGUCUCCCAGAGCAGGCCCAUCUGGGAAAGGACUGUGCCCUGAAUCUAAACUUUGGGACAUGGAUAUUGAUAGUUCCUUGAGGGAUAGAAGUGGGCGUGAAGAACAAACUUCAGGGCAUGGAUAUUGAUGGUUCCUUGAGGGAUAUAAGUGGGCGUGAAGAACAAACUUUGGGACAUGGAUAUUGAUAGUUCCUUGAGGGAUACAAGUGGGUGUGAAGAACAAACUUUGGGGCAUGGAUAUUGAUAGUUCCUUGACGGAUACGAGUGGGCGUGAAGAACAGACGAUGAAACUGUUCACUUACCCAGAUGCGUGGACCCAACUCUAGGUCUGCUGCACAGACCCAGAACCACCCCAGAUUUUGCUCAGGAUGACUUACCAUAUGGGAAUAAGAAGAGCAGGAAAUUUUACUUCAUGGCUUGAGUGAAAUAAAAGAGGAAGCAGCCACCCUUAUUCAUGCUUUUAAGACAUAGUUAUCUUGUUCACCAUUAAAAUGUA